AUUACAACUUUCAACAACGGAUCUCUUGGUUCUGGCAUCGAUGAAGAACGCAGCGAAAUGCGAUAAGUAGUGUGAAUUGCAGAAUUCAGUGAAUCAUCGAAUCUUUGAACGCACAUUGCGCCCUUUGGUAUUCCAAAGGGCAUGCCUGUUCGAGCGUCA
rnacentral:rRNA from 2 species